rnacentral:rRNA from 1 species
CUACGGGUUGCACCAGUGAGGAAUAUUGCACAAUGGGGGGAACCCUGAUGCAGCAACGCCGCGUGGAGGAUGACGCAUUUCGGUGUGUAAACUCCUUUUAUAUGUCAAGAAAAUGACGGUAGCAUAUGAAUAAGCACCGGCUAACUCCGUGCCAGCAGCCGCGGUAAUACGGAGGGUGCAAGCGUUACUCGGAAUCACUGGGCGUAAAGGACGCGUAGGCGGGCUUGUAAGUCAGGUGUGAAAUCCUACAGCUUAACUGUAGAACUGCACUUGAAACUACGAGCCUAGAGUAUGGGAGGGGCAGAUGGAAUUAGUGGUGUAGGGGUAAAAUCCGUAGAUAUCACUAGGAAUACCUAAAGCGAAGGCGAUCUGCUGGAACAUAACUGACGCUAAGGCGUGAAAGCGUGGGGAGCAAACAGGAUUAGAUACCCGGGUAGUC